rnacentral:rRNA from 1 species
AUUGAACGCUGGCGGCAGGCCUAACACAUGCAAGUCGAGCGGAUGAAGGGAGCUUGCUCCUGGAUUCAGCGGCGGACGGGUGAGUAAUGCCUAGGAAUCUGCCUGGUAGUGGGGGAUAACGUCCGGAAACGGGCGCUAAUACCGCAUACGUCCUGAGGGAGAAAGUGGGGGAUCUUCGGACCUCACGCUAUCAGAUGAGCCUAGGUCGGAUUAGCUAGUUGGUGGGGUAAAGGCCUACCAAGGCGACGAUCCGUAACUGGUCUGAGAGGAUGAUCAGUCACACUGGAACUGAGACAAGGUCCAGACUCCUACGGGAGGCAGCAGUGGGGAAUAUUGGACAAUGGGCGAAAGCCUGAUCCAGCCAUGCCGCGUGUGUGAAGAAGGUCUUCGGAUUGUAAAGCACUUUAAGUUGGGAGGAAGGGCAGUAAGUUAAUACCUUGCUGUUUUGACGUUACCAACAGAAUAAGCACCGGCUAACUUCGUG